GAGCGACUUUAGGAGGUCCGCCGUCCACUGGAGAUGUUCCAGCAACGCCGCACUGGAUUGGUGCAUCAGAAGGAUGUCGUCCAGGUAAACGAUGAGGCGUACGUCCCGACUCCUCAACCAGGACAUGACCGGACGCAGUAGUUUUGGGA